GUGAAUCAUCAAAUUUUUGAACGCAAAUUGCACUCCCUGGUAUUCCGGGGAGUAUGCCUGUUUGAGGGUCAGCCCAUAAAAAAUCGACAUCGUUGCUGUUUCGCGGUGUCGUUCGUCGGAAAUUGGGCCAUCUUACAUCCUUUUGAUUUAAGCGACUUAAAAUUUUCUUUUGGUUCCAUGAACGUUUCUAAGAUCUAUUUCUUUACACGUUUAAGGUAUCGAUUUUUAUUAGACGUGGCCGUCAUAUCGGAUCGCGUCCAUAAUUUUUCGCUAACUGACCUCAGACAGGUAAGAGUACCC
rnacentral:misc_RNA from 1 species